GGUGGGUCGCGCACACCAGCAAGCGUAGGAAGAAAGCACGGUGCUUUCUCUACAGGUGCCUGGGUGCGCAGGAACUGUCCUCAGUCUGCCUUCCAAACAAGAAGGUGAACCCAGGAUUCUGCACCCAGAGAGCCUCAGAGCCAUUAAAACUCAGCCAGCCGUGCAAGUUGACUUCGCCCUGGUGGCAGCAACUAGGGGGGGUCUCCCGUUCACGCUGGUUGCUUUCCCCGCUGCCAAUGGCCCUUAACGUCCAACCGUGGUGCCCGCUCUGGGUGCAGAUCUGGUGAGCCAGAGGAAAUAACGCUUGUAAACAAGCACUAAAUCCUGACCGGCUCAGGCUGGUUUCACUUCCCGCAGAUACACAGAUAGUAAAUUCUGCAAUAUCAAAGCAGUGCGUGUGAUCCACCCAGCACACUCAUCUGUCUUCAGCAAACAGAUGGGCUGGCCACCUAAAAACAAGCCGAUGGCUAAAUUUAGAGGCACAUCACUGCGGGCUCCAACUCCAGCCUUGUAUGGGGAUCUAAGCCCCACUGCUGAACAGCUGUGAAGCCUGGGACACUGACUGAAGCUCAGCAGGCUCUUGUCACCAAGCCUUCUCCACCCUCCAAUUAGUCAGCCAAAAGGAACCCUCCCGUGAUGGAGCUGCUUCAGGUGCCAGCAACAGCAUGGAAGGCAAGACGCACUCCCCCUACAGUCUCCCUGUGAGGCAGAAGCCCGAACACAACUUGACCGUGGUUAAAGAACACAGAAAGAACAUGCUGUGGCAAGCGGACCGAGGCUAUCAGGCUAGACCGGUGAGGUGUCAGGCCUGUAGAGCUAAGGCCACCAUACAGUGUCCAGGUGGAUGGAGCUGGAGACACAUGGGGGGUGGGGGUGAGAGAACCUAGAACCUUCCGCCUCUCUCAGGGCGCCACCUUUGCUGAUUCCA